GCGCCGCCGCUGGGCCACCGGGGACCGGGGGCCGGGGGCCGGGCCGGCCACGCGCGGGGCACCACGGGAGCGGGAGUCCGCGGCCGGCCAGCACCCUCGGACCGCGCCUGGGGAGCGCAGACCCCGCGUCGCGGCCGCAGAGGGGCGAGCCGCGGGGGCCUCCGGGAAAUGUAGUCCGGACGCCUCACUUCUUCCUCCGGCAGCCAGGGCGCGAGAGCAGGGACUGCGGAGGUUCCCGGCCAGGACCCGGAAAGCGGGUUGCCGGGCCUCCGGGAGGUGUGGUCCUCGCCGCAGGCUCCUCCCAUUGUUCUUGGCUAGGCCGGCGGCCCGCAUGGACUACCACUCCCAGGGUGCCGCGGGCUCGGGCCCUGGUAUCCCGAGGCCCUGGGAAAUGCAGUUCGCAGCUGCUGGAGGCGUGGGCUGGAGAAGGAGCGGUGGAAAGCAGUUAGUCUCGGUUCCAGGCGCGACACCCCGGCGGUUCGGCACGGCGUAGAGGGAAGACGCCUGAGAGGCCGCGGUCUCGGGGUCAGUGUGCUCCAGGAGAGUAAGCGGGUGCCUGAGAGCAAGGUCGGAGCACGCGUUCCUCUCCCACCCUGGGCCGAGCGCGCCCAGAUCAGACUCCUCACGCCGUGGAUUGCAGUGGAAGGGGCGAGUGACUUGCGGUCGCACAACCCCCACCAGCUCAGGACCUGCCGCGAGACAAAAAGUGAAGAAUAGGAAGACCACACCCAACAAGGCAGGAGUUUCUCACACAUCAAAGCCACCGCAUUGGCUUUUAAGAAGAGAGCUGGGAACCCAGAUACCAAGAGAAUCAGAACCCAAAUGUCUUAGCACCCAGCAGGCAGAGUCCUAGGGGCAGACUCCCUGAGCAGGGUCCCUUGUGGGAGGGAGGGCUACAUUUGGACACCGCAGGGAGAGGGCUCCAGGUUGUCAGGGAGGGGACAGAAAGAGAGUUGUGAUGGGAAGAAAGCCUCAGGUGGGGAGAAGCCAUCACUCACCGCUUACUUGCUCCAGGACACCGCAUGCUCUGAACUGCUGUUGGGGCUCCUGGGGCCCCCCUGGAGCUAGCCCCGCCCCUGACCUCACAGGCCUCCAUUGGAUGUCCCAAGUAUCAGUCUGCCAACAUCCCCCCGAGGGGGUGGGGUUUUCUAACCCUGCCUCUGCCUUCUGCCUGCAGGAGAGACCACCCCCUCUGCUUCCAGAAUGCACGCAUUCUACCUCUAGCCUCCUGUCUCCUCACUUCGUUUGUGAACUCCUAGAGUCAAAGAAGUGCAACUGUGGCAGCAAGGACCUUGGAAUCAUCAGACCUGCCUUUGAAUUUCAUCUCUGCCAUUUACUAGUUGAGUCAUAUUGGGCAGGUCACUUCUCUGGGCCUCAGUAACACCAUGCAUGAACUAGGGAUAAUCUCUGCUUACCUCAUUUGGAGGUGGGGGUGAAGAUGAAGUGACAUGACGAA